rnacentral:rRNA from 1 species
GAUGAACGCUGGCGGCGUGCCUAAUACAUGUAAGUCGAACGAGGGCACCCACGUAGCAAUACGAGGGUGUUCCUAGUGGCGAAUGGGUGCGUAACACGUAGGCGACCUGCCCCGGAGAGGGGGAUAACGUCCCGAAAGGGAUGCUAAUACCCCGUACGUUCCACAGGGUUAGAGGCCUGUGGAGGAAAGGCGCAAGCCGCUCUGGGAGGGGCCUGCGGCCCAUCAGCUUGGUGGUAGGGUCACGGCCUACCAAGGCGACGACGGGUAGGGGGCCUGAGAGGGUGGUCCCCCACACUGGCACUGAAACACGGGCCAGACACCUACGGGUGGCAGCAGUAGGGAAUAUUGCACAAUGGGCGAAAGCCUGAUGCAGCAACGCCGCGUGCGCGAUGAAGGCCUUCGGGUCGUAAAGCGCUUUUCGGGGGGAUGAGGAAGGACAGUACCCCCGGAAUAAGUCUCGGCUAACUACGUGCCAGCCGCCGCCGUAAAAC